rnacentral:tRNA from 5 species
GGGCGCGUAGCUCAGCUGGUUAGAGCGCACGGUUCACAUCCGUGAGGUUCGGAGGUUCGAGCCCUCUCGCGCCCA